AUUGAACGCUGGCGGCAGGCCUAACACAUGCAAGUCGAACGAGUGGCGGACGGGUGAGUAAUGUCUGGGAAACUGCCUGAUGGAGGGGGAUAACUACUGGAAACGGUAGCUAAUACCGCAUACCAUCAGAUGUGCCCAGAUGGGAUUAGCUAGUAGGUGGGGUAACGGCUCACCUAGGCGACGAUCCCUAGCUGGUCUGAGAGGAUGCACGGCAACACUGGAACUGAGACACGGUCCAGACUCCGACGGGAGACAGCAGUGGGGAAUAUUGCACAAUGGGCGAAAGCCGUAUGCAGCCAUGCCGGGUGUGUGAAGAGGGCCUUCGGGUUGUAAAGCACUUUCAGCGGGGAGGCGUUACCCGCAGAAGAAGCACCGGCUAACUCCGUGCCAGCAGCCGCGGUAAUUC
rnacentral:rRNA from 1 species